UUUAUGUCAAAGUACGCAUGUUGAAGCUCUAAGUUGGAGUAUAAGGGUAGGUCAGCGUAGGCCAAGUAUUCCAGUGCUAGGAACGCAAAAGACUCAGAAGAAGUUGUUUGAAUUCCCUCUUCUUUAAAUAUUUGCCGAAUGGCUUGUGUGACAAAAGAUCUCAAACGGUUGAGAGUCAAAAUAUUUGUAAUGUGUAUGCCUUCUUAUAAUAGCAUUUCCUUCAGUACCUAGUCCUCCACUUUGAAAGAGUGAGGCUUGGCCCCAUAGUCAUAAUAGUCGACGGUACGUUCACCCUUGGUUGUCUUGAUACGAACUUUUAUCCCUCUUGUUGUAAUGGGCUUGCUGUGAGUAAAAAUCCUUCCUCUUACCAAGAGACAGAUACAUUUGGUGACUUUGCGAGUAGCUAAAUG
rnacentral:lncRNA from 1 species